AACGAACGCUGGCGGCAUGCCUAACACAUGCAAGUCGAACGAGACCUUCGGGUCGAGUGGCGCACGGGUGCGUAACGCGUGGGAACCUGCCCUUAGGUUCGGAAUAACUCCCCGAAAGGGGUGCUAAUACCGGAUAAUGUCUCCUGACCAAAGAUUUAUCGACCUUGGAGGGGCCCGCGUUGGAGUAGCUGGUUGGGAGGGUAAUAGCCUACCAAGGCGGCGAUCCAUAGCUUGUCUGAGAGGAUGAUCAGCCACACUGAGACUGAGACACGGCCCAGACUCUUACGGGAGGCGGCAAUGGGGAAUAUUGGACAAUGGGCGGAAGGCUGAUCCAGCACUGCCGCGUGAGUGAUGAAGGCCUUAGGGUUGUAAAGCUCUUUUACCCGGGAUGAUAAUGACAGUACCGGAAGAAUAAGCUCCGGCUAACUCCGUG
rnacentral:rRNA from 1 species